GACGAACGCUGGCGGCGUGCUUAACACAUGCAAGUCGAGCGGCGCGGCGAACGGGUGAGUAACGCGUGAGUAACUGCCCCCCUCUCUGGGCUUACAGUUGGAAACGGAUGCUAAUACCGGAUAGUGGGGGAUGACUCGCGUCCUAUCAGCUUGUUGGUGGGGUAGUGGCCUACCAAGGCGACGACGGGUAGCCGGGCUGAGAGGGCGACCGGCCACAGUGGGCGCGGAGACGACCCAAAGUCCUACGGGAGGCAGCAGUGGGGAAUAGUGCACAAUGGGGGAAACCCGGAAGCAGCAACGCCGGGUGCGGGAUGACGGCCGUCGGGUUGUAAACCGCGUGCAGCCAUGACGCGGUAGUGGCAGAAGAAGCACCGGCUAACUACGUGCCAGCAGCCGCGGUAAUUC
rnacentral:rRNA from 1 species